rnacentral:rRNA from 1 species
GACGUAGGGCGCGAGCGUUGUCCGGAUUUAUUGGGCGUAAAGAGCUCGUAGGCGGCUCGUUGCGUCGGCUGUGAAAACCCGCAGCUCAACUGUGGGCUUGCAGCUGAUACGGGCGGGCUGGGAUUCGGUAGGGGAGACUGGAAUUCCUGGUGUAGCGGUGAAAUGCGCAGAUAUCAGGAGGAACACCGGUGGCGAAGGCGGGUCUCUGGGCCGAUAUCGACGCUGAGGCGCGAAAGCCAGGGGAGCAAACGGG